AGUCGUAACAAGGUCUCCGUAGGUGAACCUGCGGAGGGAUCAUUACACAAAUAUGAAGGCGGGCUGGAACCUCUCGGGGUUACAGCCUUGCUGAAUUAUUCACCCUUGUCUUUUGCGUACUUCUUGUUUCCUUGGUGGGUUCGCCCACCACUAGGACAAACAUAAACCUUUUGUAAUUGCAAUCAGCGUCAGUAACAAAUUAAUAAUUACAACUUUCAACAACGGAUCUCUUGGUUCUGGCAUCGAUGAAGAACGCAGCGAAAUGCGAUAAGUAGUGUGAAUUGCAGAAUUCAGUGAAUCAUCGAAUCUUUGAACGCACAUUGCGCCCUUUGGUAUUCCAAAGGGCAUGGCUGUUCGAGCGUCAUUUGUACCCUCAAGCUUUGCUUGGUGUUGGGCGUCUUGUCUCUAGCUUUGCUGGAGACUCGCCUUAAAGUAAUUGGCAGCCGGCCUACUGGUUUCGGAGCGCAGCACAAGUCGCACUCUCUAUCAGCAAAGGUCUAGCAUCCAUUAAGCCUUUUUUUCAACUUUUGACCUCGGAUCAGGUAGGGAUACCCGCUGAACUUAAGCA
rnacentral:rRNA from 1 species